GGCAGCUCGGCGGAUUUCUUUUUAUAGCAAUUUAUUUGAUCCGUUUCAAGAAUUUAGCUUCGAUUUGAUUUGAUUGAUCUUAGAAGUGGAAGACCCACUUGCGAAAAUUGGUAAUUCGUUAAAUUUAAUCAUCUGGGAUUGCCUUAUAUGGAGCUUCAAAAGUCGGGUUUGAGUUCAUUUUUAGGGUUUCUUCUUCUUGUGCUAUAUU
rnacentral:misc_RNA from 1 species